UACGAAGGGUGCAAACGUUGCUCGGAAUUAUUGGGCGUAAAGCGCACGUAGGCGGCUUGGCAAGUCGGAUGUGAAAUCCCUCGGCUCAACCAAGGAAGUGCAUCCGAAACUGCUGAGCUUGAGUACUAAAGAGGAUCGCGGAAUUCCCGGUGUAGAGGUGAAAUUCGUAGAUAUCGGGAGGAACACCAGUGGCGAAGGCGGCGAUCUGGGUAGAUACUGACGCUGAGGUGCGAAAGCGUGGGGAGCAAACAGG
rnacentral:rRNA from 1 species